GACGAACGCUGGCGGCGUGCUUAACACAUGCAAGUCGAACGGAAAGGCCUGCUUUCCCUUGUGGAUUGCGGGUACUCGAGUGGCGAACGGGUGAGUAACACGUGAGUGAUCUGCCCCCAACUUGGGUAUAAGCCUGGGAAACUGGGUCUAAUUCCCGACAGGACUGCAGGGUGGUGCCUGUGGUGGAAAACGAUUUUCUAGUGGUUGGGGAUGAGCUCGCGGCCUAUCAGCUUGUUGGUGGGGUAAUGGCCUACCAAGGCGGCGACGGGUAGCCGGCCUGAGAGGGUGGACGGCCACAUUGGGACUGAGAUACGGCCCAGACUCCUACGGGAGGCAGCAGUGGGGAAUAUUGCACAAUGGGCGGAAGCCUGAUGCAGCGACGCCGCGUGGGGGAUGACGGCCUUCGGGUUGUAAACUCCUUUCGACCGCGAGGAAGCCACCUGGUUGGAAGGGUGGUGACGGUAGUGGUAGAAGAAGCACCGGCUAACUACGUG
rnacentral:rRNA from 1 species